UACGGGGGGGGCAAGCGUUGUUCGGAAUUACUGGGCGUAAAGGGCUCGUAGGCGGCCAACUAAGUCAGACGUGAAAUCCCUCAGCUUAACUGGGGAACUGCGUCUGAGACUGGAAGGCUCGAGUGCAGGAGAGGAACGCGGAAUUCCAGGUGUAGCGGUGAAAUGCGUAGAUAUCUGGAGGAACACCGGUGGCGAAGGCGGCGUUCUGGACUGCAACUGACACUGAGGAACGAAAGCCAGGGAAGCAAACGGG
rnacentral:rRNA from 1 species